rnacentral:rRNA from 1 species
AGAGUUUGAUCCUGGCUCAGAACGUAGGCCGGCGGCACGCCUAACACAUGCAAGUCGAACGAAGUAGCAAUACUUAGUGGCAGACGGGUGAGUAACAUGUAGGUAUCUGCCCUUUGGCCUGGAAUAACACGAGGAAACUUGUGCUAAUACCGGAUAAGUCUUUACGGAGAAAGCUUUAUGCACCAUUGGAUGAGCCUGCACUUGAUUAGUUUGUUGGUGGGGUAACGGCCUACCAAGACUGUGAUCAAUAGCUGAUUUGAGAGGAUGAUCAGCCACAUUGGGACUGAGACACGGCCCAAACUCCUACGGGAGGCAGCAGUGGGGAAUCUUGCACAAUGGAGGAAACUCUGAUGCAGCGAUGCCGCGUGAGUGAAGAAGGCCCUUGGGUUGUAAAGCUCUUUCGUCGGGGAAGAAAAUGACUGUACCCGAAUAAGAAGGUCCGGCUAACUUCGUGCCAGCAGCCGCGGUAAUACGAAGGGACCUAGCGUAGUUCGGAAUUACUGGGCUUAAAGAGUUCGUAGGUGGUUGAAAAAGUUGGUGGUGAAAUCCCAGAGCUUAACUCUGGAACUGCCAUCAAAACUUUUCAGCUAGAGUAUGAUAGAGGAAAGCAGAAUUUCUAGUGUAGAGGUGAAAUUCGUAGAUAUUAGAAAGAAUACCAAUUGCGAAGGCAGCUUUCUGGAUCAUUACUGACACUGAGGAACGAAAGCAUGGGUAGCGAAGAGGAUUAGAUACCCUCGUAGUCCAUGCCGUAAACGAUGUGUGUUAGACGUUGGAAAUUUAUUUUCAGUGUCGCAGCGAAAGCGAUAAACACACCGCCUGGGGAGUACGACCGCAAGGUUAAAACUCAAAUGAAUUGACGGGGACCCGCACAAGUAGUGGAGCAUGUGGUUUAAUUCGAAGAUACGCGCAGAACCUUACCAACACUUGACAUGUUCGUCGCGACUCUAAGAGAUUAGAGUUUUCGGUUCGGCCGGACGAAACACAGGUGCUGCAUGGCUGUCGUCAGCUCGUGUCGUGAGAUGUUGGGUUAAGUCCCGCAACGAGCGCAACCCUCACUUUUAGUUGCCAUCAUUAAGUUGGGCACUCUGAAAGAACUGCCAGUGAUAAGCUGGAGGAAGGUGGGGAUGACGUCAAGUCCUCAUGGCCCUUACGUGUUGGGCUACACACGUGCUACAAUGGUAUCUACAACAGGAAGCAAGACUGCGAGGUCAAGCAAAUCCUUAAAAGAUACCUCAGUUCGGAUUGCACUCUGCAACUCGAGUGCAUGAAGCUGGAAUUACUAGUAAUCGUGGAUCAGCGUGCCACGGUGAAUGCGUUCCCGGGUCUUGUACACACCGCCCGUCACUCCAUGGGAGUUGGUUCUACCUUAAGGCAAGGUGUAAAACCCUUGACCACGCUAUAGUCAGCGACUGGGGUGAAGUCGUAACAAGGUAACC